rnacentral:rRNA from 1 species
UACGUAGGGUGCGAGUGUUAAUCGGAAUUACUGGGCGUAAAGCGUGCGCAGGCGGUGAUGUAAGACCGAUGUGAAAUCCCCGGGCUUAACCUGGGAACUGCAUUGGUGACUGCACUGCUGGAGUAUGGCAGAGGGGGGUGGAAUUCCACGUGUAGCAGUGAAAUGCGUAGAGAUGUGGAGGAACACCGAUGGCGAAGGCAGCCCCCUGGGCUAACACUGACGCUCAGGCACGAAAGCGUGGGGAGCAAACAGG